rnacentral:lncRNA from 1 species
GACCAGGUGUCAGCCUCAGAUCCAUCACUGUGUGUCCUCAGCCCCUCCCUUGCUCUCUCUGAGCUGGGGAAACGGCAUCUUCAUUUGAGUGGGUGCGGGAAGGACCUCAUUUUGGAACCACAGGCCUCCCUGGACUGCCUCCAGGAGUCUGGGGCUGUGGCUUCAAGUGGGGAAAAGAAUGGAGCCAUGGGACAGCUCUGACUCACAGGCCCAGCCGCCAACUCAGGGGCAGCUGAGCCACACCAGGGAAAAUACCCGACGGCUAUAAGGCCUGGCCAUACAAAGCCCACCGUCCCAGGGAUCCUGGCUUCAGAAAACACCCAGAGCCUGUGACUUCUCUUCUAGCUGUGGCAGGAGAUGAAUGAGGUGAUACCCGGAUCUGCCUUGUAAAGAAAAUAACUAGCCCACAUUCCAGACAGGGAUUAUCUUUGCUGAUGCAAAAGCCUCUGUCUGGAGGUCAGAAGAUCUCAGCUCCCUGUGUCUCAGGCCUGCUCCUUAUGGGAACUUGAGUGGAUUACACCACAUCAGGCCUCAGUUUCCCCAGAGUUAAAGAAGUUUAUUCAAGGGCAAAGUGUGAGGGUAGUCGUCAGGAAACAGGAAAACCAGAGAAUGGUGAUCAGUGCUUCCCUGUGUGGGGCAAGGUGAGGAUGGUUUAUAUAGCCAGAAACAGGGGUGGGUAACACAAUUACAUUUUCCAUACAAAGGUUAACGUAGAGCUACAAGAUUUGAUUGGCUACUAUUGACUACACUUUAAGGGGGCUGCUUAACACUCAUUUGUAAAGAGGUAAUGAUCACCAGCGUGUCAUUUAGUCCAGGUUUGAAUAAAGAAUGGGGAGCCUGGUUAAAGUAUAACAUUCUCAACACAAAAAUCAAGAGGCA